UCCAGACUCCUACGGGAGGCAGCAGUGGGGGAUAUUGCACAAUGGGGGAAACCCUGAUGCAGCGACGCCGCGUGGGCGAAGAAGUAUUUCGGUAUGUAAAGCCCUCUCAGCAGGGAAGAAGAAAUGACGGUACCUGAGUAAGAAGCACCGGCUAAAUACGUGCCAGCAGCCGCGGUAAUACGUAGGGGGCAAGCGUUAUCCGGAUUUACUGGGUGUAAAGGGGGCGCAGACGGCGAUGCAAGCCAGGAGUGAAAGCCCGGGGCCCAACCCCGGGACUGCUCUUGGAACUGCGUGGCUGGAGUGCAGGAGGGGCAGGCGGAAUUCCUGGUGUAGCGGUGAAAUGCGUAGAUAUCAGGAGGGACACCAGUGGUGAAGGCGGCUUGCUGGGCUUUUACUGACGCUGAGGCUCGAAAGUGUGGGGAGCAAACAGGAUUAGAUACCCUUGUAC
rnacentral:rRNA from 1 species